UACGGGGGGGGCAAGCGUUGUUCGGAAUUACUGGGCGUAAAGGGUUUGUAGGUGGCUUGUUAAGUCAGACGUGAAAUCCCUCAGCUUAACUGGGGAACUGCGUCUGAUACUGGAUGGCUUGAGUUUGGGAGAGGGAUGCGGAAUUCCAGGUGUAGCGGUGAAAUGCGUAGAUAUCUGGAGGAACACCGGUGGCGAAGGCGGCAUCCUGGACCAACACUGACACUGAUGAGCGAAAGCCAGGGGAGCAAACGGG
rnacentral:rRNA from 1 species